GACGAACGCUGGCGGCGUGCCUAAUACAUGCAAGUAGAACGCACAGUUUAUACCGUAGCUUGCUACACCAUAGACUGUGAGUUGCGAACGGGUGAGUAACGCGUAGGUAACCUGCCUGGUAGCGGGGGAUAACUAUUGGAAACGAUAGCUAAUACCGCAUAAUAUUAAUUAUUGCAUGAUAAUUAAUUGAAAGGUGCAAUUGCACCACUACCAGAUGGACCUGCGUUGUAUUAGCUAGUAGGUGAGGUAACGGCUCACCUAGGCGACGAUACAUAGCCGACCUGAGAGGGUGAUCGGCCACACUGGGACUGAGACACGGCCCAGACUCCUACGGGAGGCAGCAGUAGGGAAUCUUCGGCAAUGGACGAAAGUCUGACCGAGCAACGCCGCGUGAGUGAAGAAGGUGUUCGGAUCGUAAAGCUCUGUUGUAAGAGAAGAACGGGUGUGAGAGUGGAAAGUUCACACUGGGACGGUAUCUUACCAGAAAGGGGCGGCUAACUACGU
rnacentral:rRNA from 1 species